UUAAGUAUCUCAUCAGUACUCUUCCUUCUUCUUUUGCUUCCUCUUUCAAUUAUUUUCCUUGACGAUGAUGCAUCCUCUCUUGUCUCGUCACUUCUUCUCCAACGUGUGUCUUUUGUUCUUCUUUCUCUUUGUGACCACAAAGACCAAGAUAUUUUGUCUUUUUCGUUGCUCUUCCUCUUCCAUGAUGAUGCACCAUCAUAUUCAUCUCUUCUCUUCUCCCGUGCCCUCCAGCUUUCGAACUCUCUCUCAUUACUUCUUCUCUUCUCCCGAGCCCUCCAGCUUUGGA
rnacentral:lncRNA from 1 species